rnacentral:rRNA from 1 species
UACGAAGGGGGCUAGCGUUGCUCGGAAUCACUGGGCGUAAAGCGCACGUAGGCGGAUCUUUAAGUCAGGGGUGAAAUCCCGGAGCUCAACUCCGGAACUGCCUUUGAUACUGCGGAUCUUGAGUUCGAGAGAGGUGAGUGGAACUGCGAGUGUAGAGGUGAAAUUCGUAGAUAUUCGCAAGAACACCAGUGGCGAAGGCGGCUUACUGGUCCGGUUCUGACGCUGAGGCGCGAAAGCGUGGGGAGCAAACAGG